rnacentral:lncRNA from 1 species
AGAAGAGCGGCUGUGCAAUGGUGAACAGAUUCAUCCCCAGGCACCCAAUCCAUUAUCCUGUCAACAACAGCAGGUCCCUGCCACAGUAGCAGCAACACUGGCCGUAAUGAAAUCAUCAGUAAUCCCAAAACUCAUCUCUUCAUACCAAGGUAAAAGUGCUUAUCUUUUCUUGAACUGUAUGAUAACAUGACAAAACAGUUAAGCAACAGGCGGUGGACCUCAGUGGAAGACACAUGCUCUAGUCUUCAACAGUGAAUUACCUGUAGUAGCUACAUUUCCCUGCAGGUAAUGGAAUUUGACUUAAGAAAAUCAAAGAAAUGGAUAUAUGGAUUUUCAGUGAGUCAUUUUUACACUGUCAAAUGCUAAAACCAUUUGAUUUCAG